GGAAGGAUCAUUACUGAGUCGUCGACACGAGUUGUUGCUGGUCCCCAAAUGGGGGCAUGUGCACGCUCUGUUUACACAUCCACUCACACUUGUGCACCCUCUGUAGUUCUAUGGUCUGGGGGACCCUGUCUUCCUUCUGUGGUUCUGCAUCUUUACACACACACUGUAAUAAAGUCUUAUGGAAUGUACGCCGCGUUUAACGCAAUACAAUACAACUUUCAGCAACGGAUCUCUUGGCUCUCGCAUCGAUGAAGAACGCAGCGAAAUGCGAUAAGUAAUGUGAAUUGCAGAAUUCAGUGAAUCAUCGAAUCUUUGAACGCACCUUGCGCCCCUUGGCUAUUCCGAUGGGCAUGCCUGUUUGAGUAUCGUGAACACCUCAACUCUCAUGGUUUGCCAUGAUGAGCUUGGACUUUGGGGGUUUUGCUGGCCUAUGGUCAGCUCCUCUCAAAUAAAUCAGCUUGCCAGUGUUUGGUGGCAUCACAGGUGUGAUAACUAUCUACGCUUGUUGUUGUACACCAGGUAACCUUCAGGGAUGGAGGUUCGCUGGAGCUCAUAGACGUCUCUCCUCAGGGAGGACAGCUUUUUGAACGUUCGAUCUCAAAUCAGGUAGGACUACCCGCUGAACUUAAGCAUAUCAAUAAGCGGAGGAA
rnacentral:rRNA from 1 species